GGAUUGUAGCUCAGUGGCAGAGCACUUGCCUAUCAUGUGUGAGGCCCUGAGUUCAAUCCCCAGCACCA
rnacentral:tRNA from 1 species